GUAGGUGAACCUGCGGAGGGAUCAUUACACAAUAUGAAAGCGGGCUUGGAAUCCUUCGGGGUUCUCAGCCUUGCUGAAUUAUUCACCCGUGUCUUUUGCGUACUUCUUGUUUCCUUGGUGGGCUCGCCCACCAUAGGACCAACCAUAAACCUUUUGUAAUUGCAAUCAGCGUCAGUAACAAAUUAAUAAUUACAACUUUUAACAACGGAUCUCUUGGUUCUG
rnacentral:misc_RNA from 1 species